rnacentral:lncRNA from 1 species
AUGAGUUUAGAAAAAAAUGGAUUAAACACCAGUCUGGAGUCUGACAUAAGUGGACUUGGAAACCAAGCCUUGCUACUUCUUAGCUGCACAGCUAAGGGUCUAUUCGAACUUCAGUUUCUAUAUCUGAAAAAUGCUGUCCAGGCUGAAGGAUGCGGUGGGUUACCAGAAGAGAUGAAGAAGAAAUUCACAUCAGGAGUAUUAAUGGAUGAAAUUUUACCUACACUUCCACAUCUUCUACACCACUGGUGCCAUUUCCCCCCCCACCAAAUCUUCAGGAUCAGCUUUUGAAGUAAAUCUGUGAUUCUCCGUUGUGCUGAAGAACUUCCUGCACACUCACUCCUUCAUCCUUCAGUGGAAUCCCUGGAAGCAUCUUUGGGUUGGAGUAGGUGUGUAAAGGGAAUCAUCAGGAGCAUGCACGUCAUUAGGAGACCACAAGCAUCCUGCACUGAAACUACUACUUCUCUCUUCUACUUCUCCAGACUAUGUGGCCAGUGUCCUUUGCCUACCGUAGUCUAGAUUAGCAGGGAAUUUUUUCUUCUGGUCUUUACUCUAGUUUUCCCUUACCUUUCAUGGUUGUUGGGGAAAUAGCCCCAAGAAAGAGAAGGUAAAAUCUUUCUUACAGUCUCAUGGAAAGAGAAGAGAGAAGAGAUUGGGAGGGGUGAAGAAUAAGAAGAGGAAGAGGGAAAGAGGAGAAGGAAGAACAGAAGAGGAGUUGUGGGGAGGACGGGAGGUGCAGAAGAAAGAUGUGGCUGGGGAGGAAAGGCAGAGGAGGAGAAGAAGGUAAAGGGAGAUGAAAACAACCCUGAAAGGAAGCAAAAGAGGAAGGGAGGAGGAGCACAAAAAGCAAGGAAGAGGAGAGGAAGAAAAGGAGGAGGACAAUGAGGACUGUAGAAAGAGGAGGAGGAGGAAUGUGGAGGAGAUGGAGGAGAAGGAUAAGAAGAGCAGCGGAGGAAGAGGAGGAGGCAGGGAGGAUGAGAUAGUGGUGAGGAGACAAAGAAGAGGAGGUAGAGGAGAAAGGAGGGAGCAGAUGAUUGACGAUCUUGGACUAAAUAAACUUUGCC